rnacentral:rRNA from 1 species
GAUGAACGCUGGCGGCGUGCCUAAUACAUGCAAGUCGAGCGAACAGAUGAGGAGCUUGCUCCUCUGACGUUAGCGGCGGACGGGUGAGUAACACGUGGAUAACCUACCUAUAAGACUGGGAUAACUUCGGGAAACCGGAGCUAAUACCGGAUAAUAUAUUGAACCGCAUGGUUCAAUAGUGAAAGACGGUUUUGCUGUCACUUAUAGAUGGAUCCGCGCCGCAUUAGCUAGUUGGUAAGGUAACGGCUUACCAAGGCAACGAUGCGUAGCCGACCUGAGAGGGGGAGAGGCAAAACGGGAACUGAGACAGGGGCCAGACCCCUAGGGGAGGGAGGAGGAGGGAAUCUUCCGCAAUGGGCGAAAGCCUGAGGGAGAAACGCCGGGGGAGGGAUGAAGGUUUGCGGAUCGGAAAACUUUUUUAUUAGGGAAGAAAAAAUGGGAAAGUAACUAUGCACGUUUUGACGGUACCAAAACAAAAAGCCACGGCUAAAUAAGU